rnacentral:rRNA from 1 species
AGAGUUUGAUCCUGGCUCAGAUUGAACGCUGGCGGCAUGCCUUACACAUGCAAGUCGAACGGUAACAGGUCUUCGGAUGCUGACGAGUGGCGAACGGGUGAGUAAUACAUCGGAACGUGCCCGAGAGUGGGGGAUAACGGAGCGAAAGCUUUGCUAAUACCGCAUACGAUCUACGGAUGAAAGCAGGGGACCGCAAGGCCUUGCGCUCAUGGAGCGGCCGAUGGCAGAUUAGGUAGUUGGUGGGAUAAAAGCUUACCAAGCCGACGAUCUGUAGCUGGUCUGAGAGGACGACCAGCCACACUGGGACUGAGACACGGCCCAGACUCCUACGGGAGGCAGCAGUGGGGAAUUUUGGACAAUGGGCGCAAGCCUGAUCCAGCCAUGCCGCGUGCAGGAUGAGGGCCUUCGGG